rnacentral:rRNA from 1 species
AGAUAAACUCGGGGGACUGCUGACUAUAACCAUUUCUCAAAACAGAGGAAGGUUGCGGCAAUAACAGGUCUGUGAUGCCCUCAGAUGUCCCGGGCUGCACACGUGCUACAAUGAGUGGCGCAAUGUGCUAAUGUUUUAAGGGAUAAGCGUGCGGCCAGUAGAACGUCGGCAAUUGCCCUGGCGUCUUCUACCGCACGAUUAUCAGCCUUCCCUUAACAGGGCGGGCAACCUUUUCAAAAUACCGGUUUGAUGUUAAAGUAUAGAGUCGUUUUUUUUGGAUGGUGGUUUACGAACCAAUACCAUCCGCAACUGCUCGCGAGUUUGUGGUUCUGGUGACUCAUGGUGGGGACCGAUGUUUGUAAUUGUUUGUCGCGUGUCAACUAGGAAUGCCUUGUACUGUCGAUUCACUAAGUU